rnacentral:misc_RNA from 1 species
UUAACGAUUUAAAUAUUACUCAGGCGACACAGUUAAAAAAGAAUUUAAAUAAGGCUACUGGCGGGCACGGGCUAGAGGUAAGAUAACCUCCGGCGGCCCCCAAAAGGGCGGGCCCACCAAAGCAACAUGGUGUGAUAUACAAGGGGUUGGAAGUCCGGGCCAGGACGACCCUAACUCGAUAAUGAUCCUUCCGCAGGUUCACCUACGGAAA